rnacentral:rRNA from 1 species
UACGUAGGGUGCGAGUGUUGUCCGGAAUUACUGGGCGUAAAGAGCUCGUAGGCGGUUUGUCGCGUUGUUCGUGAAAACUCACAGCUUAACUGUGGGCGUGCGGGCGAUACGGGCAGACUGGAGUACUGCAGGGGAGACUGGAAUUCCUGGUGUAGCGGUGGAAUGCGCAGAUAUCAGGAGGAACACCGGUGGCGAAGGCGGGUCUCUGGGCAGUAACUGACGCUGAGGAGCGAAAGCGUGGGGAGCAAACAGG